rnacentral:lncRNA from 1 species
AAAUGUCUGCACGGGUGGCUGUCCCCUGCUCCCUCUGGCUUGCCCUGCCCUCUUGCAUCCAGGAGACCCUGAGGACCCCCCCGCACCCCAGGCAGGCCCACCACGGACAGCCAGUUUGGCCUUGCGGUCAGACGUGGGUGGCUGCGCCCUGCUUCCUCCGGCUUGCCCCAGACCACUGUACUUGAAUCGAUGGGGAAAUUAGAUACUUUCACGACAAAGAACACCUGAGAUAUUUCAUGAACACCAAACCAGCACUCCAAACAAUCCUAAGCAAUAUACUAGAAAAAGACAAUGAAGAUCACAGCUCCAUGAGGCCCAACAGAGGGAAGCCACCAGGAAAGGUAAGAAACAAAAGGGAAAGGGGGAAAAAUAACCCCAAGAAAUAAAAGAGCCAACAAUAGUAAAACAUCAUGACAAGGAUGAAUCAAUAUCUAUGAAUUAUAACUAUCAAUGUUAAUGGUCUCAAUUCACCACUCAAAAGAAAUAGAUUGACAGAAUGGAUUAAGAAGCAAAAUCCAACAAUAUGCUGUAUACAAGAAAC